CCUACGGGAGGCAGCAGUGAGGAAUAUUGGUCAAUGGGCGGAAGCCUGAACCAGCCAAGUAGCGUGCGGGAUGAAGGCCCUACGGGUUGUAAACCGCUUUUGCACGGGGAUAACACCUUCCACUUGUGGGGGUCUGCAGGUACCGUGCGAAUAAGGGCCGGCUAAUUCCGUGCCAGCAGCCGCGGUAAUACGGAGGGCCCGAGCGUUAUCCGGAUUUAUUGGGCUUAAGGGGAGCGUAGGCGGGCGUUCAAGUCAGCUGUAAAAUCGCGCGGCUCAACCGCGCCCCGCAGUUGAAACUGGACGCCUUGAGUUCACAACAGGCAGGCGGAAUUCGUGGUGUAGCGGUGAAAUGCAUAGAUAUCACGAGGAACCCCGAUUGCGAAGGCAGCCUGCCGGGGUGCGACUGACGCUGAGGCUCGAAGGUGCGGGUAUCAAACAGGAUUAGAUACCCUGGUAGUC
rnacentral:rRNA from 1 species